UUUUUAAGUAUGGACUUGAAUAUGACAGUCUUUUCACUGAUGUCCAGGGAAUUUCUACCUUACAGUGCCCGGGGAAUGGGAUCUGGGGCUAGCUUUCUUCCUGAGAAAACCAGUCCUGGCUUUUGGGAUAUGGCUUCUCAUAUCUUGAAAGUACUCUGAUAUUCUGAAAGGAUGGUUGGUUGACACUACUGAGAGUCUACAGGGAGUGUGGGAAGUUACUCUUAGCAAACCUCAUAUUUUGGAAAGACAGAACCCAGGAAAGUUUAAUAAUUCCUGUAGGGACAGGAGUGCAGGCUGAGGUUGUUCACGGGAUGCAGGUGCUGUUCAACUUCUAAGUGCGGGCUGAGUUUAAUUCAACCCCCUUGGCCAGCACAGGCCCAGACAGGGCCUGGCUCUUUCUAGUCACCAAGUUGCCCUGACUCCCUGCCUUCUAGCAGAAUAACAAUUCGGGGGCAAUGUAGCGCUUGCCUUAUCUUCUUUGGGCUAGUUGGAGUUUCAGAGCAAAUACAUUCUUCUCUAGCCGGCUUAGCUUAAAGUCUGUUUACUUGUCCCCAGGAUAGGUGAAUAUUCAGAGGGCUCUGGGAAUGAGACCCAACAAACUGGACUUUGGUCCUCUCUUGCCACCAAUCACUCUGAUUCCUCCAGCUCCUACCUAGGGGAAUGUGUCAGCUAUAGAAGCAAUCUUGGCAUGCAGACUGGGGCAUAUCUCUUUAGGAAACUAGGUGCUGGGCUCAAAGUGAGCUGGGUUUAAGGUUUUAGUCCCCACAGUUUGGGGACACAAGCCAUUCACACAGCCUGCAACUGGGUCAGCACCUAGGAGGCUUUCAAAAACUGGGGCUCAGAUUUGUUCUGACCUCCAAGUAAAAGAAAUAAACAUUCUAGAGAUGCCCUGACACUGAGAUGGUGGAAGAGGGGAAGUUUCCUCAGUGAGCUGUAGAACAAAUGCCCUAGAAACUGCCCCCUGACAAGUAUCCCACUCAACUCCAGGCCGCGAUGGUUCAGGCAGUGGGGGGAUUUUGCAGACAGCAUCCUCCUCUUUGCUCCUCUCCCCCACCCCACCCCAACCCCGCCGUGUAAACACGAGGACUUUCUCGAGAGCCCUGGAGAGCCGCUCUAGUGGCUUCGGGGCCUGAAACCCCAGGCUUGGCUUGUUUGAUGUUUAGCAUCCCAAAGCGGCUCCCCACCCCCGCCCCAGCCUGGGAACCCCGAGCUCCGGGGCCGAAGAGAAGGGGAAGCAGUUCUCUCAGCUGGAGGGCGGUGGAUUGGCUGGGCUUAGAGAAGUGGCGAAAACUACAGGACUCCCCGCCCUGAGCAGGGGAGAAAGGGAUCCCGGAAUGAUGCGGUCAUCCAUGAGGAUAUAGCUGGAGUCCUAAAGGCCAAGAGGCAGACGGGGAAAGAAAUGUCACAAUUUGGGGGAAUACACUGGAGAUAGGGGCCAGGUCGGUGGAAAUAGCUUGGGGCCACCGCGAAAACAAGGUAAGCGGUGUCUGGGUCCAGUUAGUGAGCAUCGAGAACGGCGUCCACGACUGCAGGGCUAUCAGGGCCUCGAGGAGACAGCGCUCCGUGCCACUGCUUAGUGCUUGGCCUUUCAUAGGGACGAACCUGCUUAGGAGUCUUCCAAGAGAUUUUUAAAUCCUCCGAGUCUGGACCUGGAAGCUCCAUUGGCGACGUUUGGAUCUGGCUUCGUAGUCUUUGAUUUCGAAAGCCCAGGAAGAUUCGCAGACUUUCAAGGCCGCACACACCGCAUUGCCGGGAGUCUGGGCGGCGGUGAGGACUGAGAAGCUGUCUCAAGACCUGAGUCUCUUCUCAGGCGAUCCCAGAUAAGAGGAGAGAGAGAGAGCUUUUCUGACUUCCAACUCAUUAGGGACCAGAAGUAUGGACUUGAAUAUGACAGUCUUUUCACUGAUGUCCAGGGAAUUUCUACCUUACAGUGCCCGGGGAAUGGGAUCUGGGGCUAGCUUUCUUCCUGAGAAAACCAGUCCUGGCUUUUGGGAUAUGGCUUCUCAUAUCUUGAAAGUACUCUGAUAUUCUGAAAGGAUGGUUGGUUGACACUACUGAGAGUCUACAGGGAGUGUGGGAAGUUACUCUUAGCAAACCUCAUAUUUUGGAAAGACAGAACCCAGGAAAGUUUAAUAAUUCCUGUAGGGACAGGAGUGCAGGCUGAGGUUGUUCACGGGAUGCAGGUGCUGUUCAACUUCUAAGUGCGGGCUGAGUUUAAUUCAACCCCCUUGGCCAGCACAGGCCCAGACAGGGCCUGGCUCUUUCUAGUCACCAAGUUGCCCUGACUCCCUGCCUUCUAGCAGAAUAACAAUUCGGGGGCAAUGUAGCGCUUGCCUUAUCUUCUUUGGGCUAGUUGGAGUUUCAGAGCAAAUACAUUCUUCUCUAGCCGGCUUAGCUUAAAGUCUGUUUACUUGUCCCCAGGAUAGGUGAAUAUUCAGAGGGCUCUGGGAAUGAGACCCAACAAACUGGACUUUGGUCCUCUCUUGCCACCAAUCACUCUGAUUCCUCCAGCUCCUACCUAGGGGAAUGUGUCAGCUAUAGAAGCAAUCUUGGCAUGCAGACUGGGGCAUAUCUCUUUAGGAAACUAGGUGCUGGGCUCAAAGUGAGCUGGGUUUAAGGUUUUAGUCCCCACAGUUUGGGGACACAAGCCAUUCACACAGCCUGCAACUGGGUCAGCACCUAGGAGGCUUUCAAAAACUGGGGCUCAGAUUUGUUCUGACCUCCAAGUAAAAGAAAUAAACAUUCUAGAGAUGCCCUGACACUGAGAUGGUGGAAGAGGGGAAGUUUCCUCAGUGAGCUGUAGAACAAAUGCCCUAGAAACUGCCCCCUGACAAGUAUCCCACUCAACUCCAGGCCGCGAUGGUUCAGGCAGUGGGGGGAUUUUGCAGACAGCAUCCUCCUCUUUGCUCCUCUCCCCCACCCCACCCCAACCCCGCCGUGUAAACACGAGGACUUUCUCGAGAGCCCUGGAGAGCCGCUCUAGUGGCUUCGGGGCCUGAAACCCCAGGCUUGGCUUGUUUGAUGUUUAGCAUCCCAAAGCGGCUCCCCACCCCCGCCCCAGCCUGGGAACCCCGAGCUCCGGGGCCGAAGAGAAGGGGAAGCAGUUCUCUCAGCUGGAGGGCGGUGGAUUGGCUGGGCUUAGAGAAGUGGCGAAAACUACAGGACUCCCCGCCCUGAGCAGGGGAGAAAGGGAUCCCGGAAUGAUGCGGUCAUCCAUGAGGAUAUAGCUGGAGUCCUAAAGGCCAAGAGGCAGACGGGGAAAGAAAUGUCACAAUUUGGGGGAAUACACUGGAGAUAGGGGCCAGGUCGGUGGAAAUAGCUUGGGGCCACCGCGAAAACAAGGUAAGCGGUGUCUGGGUCCAGUUAGUGAGCAUCGAGAACGGCGUCCACGACUGCAGGGCUAUCAGGGCCUCGAGGAGACAGCGCUCCGUGCCACUGCUUAGUGCUUGGCCUUUCAUAGGGACGAACCUGCUUAGGAGUCUUCCAAGAGAUUUUUAAAUCCUCCGAGUCUGGACCUGGAAGCUCCAUUGGCGACGUUUGGAUCUGGCUUCGUAGUCUUUGAUUUCGAAAGCCCAGGAAGAUUCGCAGACUUUCAAGGCCGCACACACCGCAUUGCCGGGAGUCUGGGCGGCGGUGAGGACUGAGAAGCUGUCUCAAGACCUGAGUCUCUUCUCAGGCGAUCCCAGAUAAGAGGAGAGAGAGAGAGCUUUUCUGACUUCCAACUCAUUAGGGACCAGAUUUGCUCUCCAGCACAGCAAAAGGGUCUGCCUGUGACCCUCACCGAACUCACUCUUCACUGCUUUAUAGAGACCAUCAGACUCAGGACAAAUAUUCUAGUUUGGAUGCGCAAUUAAUAAUAAGAAGAUACAGGACAGAGGCGGACUGAAUGGCUCCAAUUCUCAGAAUGUGAAAGCGUAAAUCAGAACCUACUAUUUUGUAAAACCAACUUGGAAAACAAAAUUGUCAGAAGCAAAACAACAACAACAACAACAAUAAAAACCAAACCAACAACAAAACCAAGCAAGUCAGGCUGUUUUACCAAUAAAGGGGGCACUGAAUGGAAUCAGAGAUCUGAUAAGUGCCGGGAAGUUGGACUAAGAGGGACAGGAGACUUCGAAACUUCUCUGAAUACUGCUUUGCUGCUGACUUCCAAGGAGAUCUCACCAGAGCUGAGCUGAAGCCAGGACCAUAGUGUUAUUGACAUUACCCCCAGAGACAUGAAGAAACAUCUGCUGCCCCUAGAUAUGAAACCAACACAGACCAAACCAACUGUCAGUACUGCAAGUGGUCCACCCACCAAAGAGAUGGAACUCAACGUGGUAGAAUAGAAGCUGAGACAUGUGGACUUGACAGACUUGAGACUCGGCUAUUCAUCCCAGCUCUGAGAGCCCAUGCAGCUCAUUGAGCCUUCGCGACUCCUGGUUUUACUUUCAGCAAAAUGGAGAUAUUAAGCUCUGGGAUCAGUACACGUCAACCUGAACCCGGAAGAGUUCCAAGUAUCUUUCCCCUUCUCUGUCAGGUUCGUGUUACCCUGAACCUGUGAGCUCAGAAGGAAUUUUCUGGUUUUCGGGAGACGGCAGCCAUUCAUCAUAGCUCUCCACCACUGACUGACUGAGAGUCAAUUAUCAUCAAACAUCCAUCUGCCCAUGAUGCUAAUUAUUCCUACUCCAUGAUUGAGGAUUUGGAGUCGGAGACUCACCUGCAAUAUUUGGAAUACCAGUGGAGAUCCAUAUCAACAUGGAAUUUAUACAGCAGCUGGUGCCAGUCACAGCUAAUGAUGAAACUUCAGCUUAAUAAAAAGACCCCCAACUGAGUACAACCAUCUCGAAGAAAGUGUACUUAUCAAACAGCUUUCAAUCAGUUCAAGAGAGACACCUUAAUUGUGAAGAGCAAGAACCGCACAGCAGUUGUCACCAUGCCAACUUCAGAUCAAUGGCACUUCCACUGCUCUUGGUACAUAUAGCCUUGCCUAUGUCCUUAACUGCACCAACAUCCUUCCUGUUGGGAUGAGAUCUUGUCAGCUGCUAGCGUGUGAUGAUGCCUUCGUUCAUUACAUUACUAUACCCCUUAGCAAAAUUUAAACGUGUAAUGAUAAAGGUCACUACCUUUUCCUUUAAUUAAGACCUCUAUUUCUUGUUACCAGAAACAAGUGCCUAUGACAUUUUGUAUUUUCAGAAAUUAUCCUGUUGAAAUAAAGCUACACAAACAAAAUAAAA
rnacentral:sRNA from 1 species